rnacentral:lncRNA from 1 species
CUCAUUAUAAAGGGAAAAAAUACCCAGUAAUUUAUAAACAUAAAAUCACAUCAAAGAGAAACAGUGUCAAAUGAAUAUACCAGAGCCCCAAGAACUUCCAGAGAAUAAAUGCCCAAGACUUCCCCAGGGAAGACUCACCAGCAGAGUUUCAAGACCUACAUGAGCAGGAAAGGAACUGUAUCAAUUAAAAUGUUGCUACAUCACAGAAUCACCUUCUCUCCCUUCUUAACAAUUCUGCCAAAGCUACCCUCAUAGGCAAGGGUCAGGAGGUACCUUUCAUAGUUGACAAUCAAAAACAGCCGCACAUGCCUGGCAGGAUGAAGAUUCUGUGAGCAUCUACCAAAGAGACAGCCUAGAAGCAGGGUUUGUGAAGCAAGGACAGAACUCAUCUAGAUGUUCAUGAGAAUAUACUCUAUUAAAGUCU